GUAAUUCACUGUUGCGAGAGGUGGGACGGUGAUACUUCAGUGUGGUUUCAACAGAGGAAUACGCAAGGAGGUACUACGCAAGCAAUGUCUCUGAGUAUAACACUGUUAUCGGUUCUCUCACCGCGCAGAGAAGGCAUUUCUUGCUGAGAGAUGUGUGUGAUGAUAUGAUGCUGGAUGGAGUACAACCAACCAGGGAUACAUUCCAUUCUUUCAUCGUUGGAACCAUGAAAAGCUUUUGCUUGCCGGACGCUUUCUACUUUUCUGACCAAAUGAAAUCCAUGGGUUUGAUCCCUGAUGUAUGUAUUUGUAUAUAUAUGCUUCUUCUUUUUUUUUUUCGUUUUUUUUUUCACAUGGAUCUGCAUUAAUUCUUAUCUGCUGACUAUUAGAUUCUUUCAAGAUUGGAAAUUUUGUAUAAAGUUACUUUGUGUUUUUUUUUUCUUUUUUUUUCCUUAGCUAUUACAAUGUAUUGCUUUGUGUUAUAGGUUACUUAAAACAACAUUUUAGUUUCUUGAUGUAGUGCAAAUGAACUCUGUCACUGUUGACUCGAGGCCAAAGUGCUUGGUUGGUAUUAUUUUUUAUGGUUACCCUUCUUAUUCUAGAAUGUAUGUAGAAGAAACAAAUUACUACUUUUUCUCUAGGUGAUUGAUGAAAUAGAUGGAGCUCUUGGUGAUGGCAAAGGUGCUGUGGAGGUUAUUCUAAAGAUGGUUUCUGUAGAUAAGAAGUCUGAUACAGGGAAGGAGUAUUUUCCAAAUGAAGAAAAUGAUGAAAGUACAUAGAAAGUUUAUCAUUCAUAUGGAGUUUCUUUUUCAUGAUUCCCUGGAAAAUGG